rnacentral:rRNA from 1 species
ACGCAUAUGUGCUGGAAUGCUUUAUGCGUCAAAUGGAUUCGUCUGCCCAAGGAUGGGUCUGCGGCCUAUCAGGUAGUAGUGGGUGUAAUGUACCUACUAGCCGACAACGGGUACGGGUUGUGAGAGCAAGAGCCCGGAGAUGGAUUCUGAGACAUGAAUCCAGGCCCUACGGGGCGCAGCAGGCGCGAAAACUUUACAAUGCGGGAAACCGUGAUAAGGGGACACCGAGUGUCAGCAUCAUAUGCUGGCUGUCCAGGUGUGUAAAAUACACCUGUUAGCAAGGGCCGGGCAAGACCGGUGCCAGCCGCCGCGGUAACACCGGCGGCCCGAGUGGUGAUCGUGAUUAUUGGGUCUAAAGGGUCCGUAGCCGGUUUGGUCAGUCCUCCGGGAAAUCUGAUAGCUCAACUAUUAGGCUAUCGGGGGAUACUACCAGACUUGGAACCGGGAGAGGUAAGAGGUACUACAGGGGUAGGAGUGAAAUCUUGUAAUCCCUGUGGGACCACCUGUGGCGAAGGCGUCUUACCAGAACGGGUUCGACGGUGAGGGACGAAAGCUGGGGGCACGAACCGGAUUAGAUACCCGGGUAGUCCCAGCCGUAAACGAUGCUCGCUAGGUGUCAGGCAUGGCGCGACCGUGUCUGGUGCCGCAGGGAAGCCGUGAAGCGAGCCACCUGGGAAGUACGGCCGCAAGGCUGAAACUUAAAGGAAUUGGCGGGGGAGCAC